UUUACGGAGAGUUUGAUCCUGGCUCAGGACGAACGCUGGUGGCGUGCUUAACACAUGCAAGUCGAACGGUGAAGCCCAGCUUGCUGGGUGGAUCAGUGGCGAACGGG
rnacentral:ncRNA from 1 species